rnacentral:rRNA from 1 species
GACGAACGCUGGCGGCGUGCUUAACACAUGCAAGUCGAACGGAAAGGCCCUGCUUUUGUGGGGUGCUCGAGUGGCGAACGGGUGAGUAACACGUGAGUAACCUGCCCUUGACUUUGGGAUAACUUCAGGAAACUGGGGCUAAUACCGGAUAGGAGCUCCUGCUGCAUGGUGGGGGUUGGAAAGUUUCGGCGGUUGGGGAUGGACUCGCGGCUUAUCAGCUUGUUGGUGGGGUAGUGGCUUACCAAGGCUUUGACGGGUAGCCGGCCUGAGAGGGUGACCGGCCACAUUGUGACUGAGAUACGGCCCAGACUCCUACGGGAGGCAGCAGUGGGGAAUAUUGCACGAUGGGCGGAAGCCGGACGCAGCAACGCCGCGUGCGGGAUGACGGCCUUCGGGUUGUAAACCGCUUUCGCCUGUGACGAAGCGUGAGUGACGGUAAUGGGUAAAGAAGCACCGGCUAACUACGUG